GCCCUUCUCUAAGGAAUAGCCACUGGAAACGGUGAGUAAUACCUUAUACGCCCUUCGGGGAAAGAUUUAUCGGAGAAGGAUCGGCCCGCGUUAGAUUAGAUAGUUGGUGGGGUAAUGGCCUACCAAGUCUACGAUCUAUAGCUGGUUUGAGAGGAUGAUCAGCAACACUGGGACUGAGACACGGCCCAGACUCCUACGGGAGGCAGCAGUGGGGAAUCUUAGACAAUGGGCGCAAGUGAUCUAGCCAUGCCGCGUGAGUGACGAAGGCCUUAGGGUCGUAAAGCUCUUUCGCCAGGGAUGAUAAUGACAGUACCUGGUAAAGAAACCCCGGCUAACUCCGUGCCAGCAGCCGCGGUAAUACGGAGGGGGUUAGCGUUGUUCGGAAUUACUGGGCGUAAGGCGCACGUAGGCGGGCUGUUAAGUUAGAGGUGAAAUCCCGGGGCUCAACCCCGAACUGCCUUUAAUACUGGCAGCCUAGAGUUCGAGAGAGGUGAGUGGAAUUCCGAGUGUAGAGGUGAAAUUCGUAGAUAUUCGGAGGAACACCAGUGGCGAAGGGGCUCACUGGCUCGAUACUGACGCUGAGGUG
rnacentral:rRNA from 1 species